UUCGCGCCUGCUCACUCCACCCUGUAUAGGCUACAUGCAUAUGCGUUUAAUCAGAAGUCUCUCCCGACUGAAGUAAUGGUUCUUAUUUUUACAUUCAUCAUGCUUUUAAAUUCAUAAAUAUACCAUAAGAAAGCCUCCGACUAUAAAUUAAUGCCUGUGUGGAGCUAAACUUGAUCAGACGGUUUAUUUACUUCACUGCUACCGCCUCCCUCUGAUUAUGGAUGUUUGACUGCUGAACUUCAACUUGGAAAUUGGGAUUUUCAGUUCCUGCUGUCUGUGUGCGCAUUUGGACCAUGACGCCUCUCCCCAUGAGACACCACCAGGGACCACUGCUGAACUUCAACAAGCUAAUACCUGGCAAUUAAAGCAACAGGACGCUGUGUGGCUACUCGCUGAAGAUUGGUCUGGCCAUUCCCAGCCCUGCCCAUAUCCUGCUUGUCAUCUGAGGAUGCCAGCUGGAGCGGCACCCCUUCACUUCCUCCAAUCCAGAAGCUGCCUGUCAUUUGGUGAUGCUGAUUGGAGCGGCGCUCUACCGCUUCCCCCAAUCCCGAAGCUGCCAGCAAGACCGCUCCCCCUUCAAAUAGGGUGCCAUCCUGCUGCUCCUGGCAGCAGUGUUGGGAAAAGUCACCCUUUUGACAGA